UACGUAGGGGGCAAGCGUUAUCCGGAUUUACUGGGUGUAAAGGGAGCGUAGACGGUUGUAUAAGUCUGGAGUGAAAGCCCGGGGCCCAACCCCGGGACUGCUUUGGAAACUGUGUAACUUGAGUACAGGAGGGGCAGGCGGAAUUCCUGGUGUAGCGGUGAAAUGCGUAGAUAUCAGGAGGAACACCGGCGGCGAAGGCGGCCUUCUGGGCCAUCACUGACGCUGAGGCGCGAAAGCUAGGGGAGCAAACAGG
rnacentral:rRNA from 1 species